rnacentral:lncRNA from 1 species
CAAAAUUGUCUUGUAUUCUAGUUUAGCCUGUGUUGAUAGCAGUGAGUGUAAGGUUGUGAGUGACUGGUAAGUGAGAAAAGUUGAAGUGAUAGUAUACCCAUUUCAGGUUCAAUUUUCUGAAUGUGGAGCUUUUAUCCUAAAUUCAUGUAAGAGUAAAUUUUUUAUGAUGAAAUAAUAACUCUCAGGUUGUGAAGAUAAAAUUCAAAAGAACCUCCCAUAAGUUGAGAAAAUCCUGAAGAAGCCGACAAGACAUUGUGAAGAUUCAUCAUAGAAAAGAGACUGGAGGGAAGAAAUGCAGUUUGCUCUGAAGUUCCGUUGUUCAGAUGCUACUGCGACUAAAUAAAGAUGAAGAGAAAGAAUGCGAGACUAUGGGAAGAGGACACAUUCAGGUGGCAUGAAGGCUCUAACUGGGGAAAACUGAAGACUGACACACAGAAACCCUGGCACACAAGAGCACACACACAGAUGAGUAGAGGCCAGAAGAGGGCAUUGGAAACCCUGAUACUGGAGUGACAGUUGUUUGUGAGAAACCUUGUGGGUGUUUGGAACUGAACCCAGGACUUCUUCAAGAGAAUCAAGCCCUCUUAACCAUUGAGCCAAUUCUUCAGUCCCCAUCCCAGUAUUUUUGUAUACAAAAUCAUUCACAUUGUAGAACAAGUUUAGUUGACCUUCACAUUUUAGGUUUGGAAGAUAAGAAUUCAAAGGUGUGAUGAAAAAAAGCAGGAACAUUUUGGAAGAAAGAUAUACAGUUAAAUUAGUUCUCUA